rnacentral:rRNA from 1 species
GAUCCUGGCUCAGGAUGAACGCUAGCUACAGGCUUAACACAUGCAAGUCGAGGGGCAGCAUGGUCUUAGCUUGCUAAGGCCGAUGGCGACCGGCGCACGGGUGAGUAACACGUAUCCAACCUGCCGUCUACUCUUGGGCAGCCUUCUGAAAGGAAGAUUAAUACAAGAUGGCAUCAUGAGUCCGCAUGUUCACAUGAAUUAAAGGUAUUCCGGUAGACGAGUGGGGUA